GCCAGCGUAGUUCAACGGCAGAACAAGGGAAUCAUAACCCCUAAACGAAGGUUCAACUCCUUCCGCUGGUA
rnacentral:tRNA from 1 species